CCGUACGAUACGAGUUUGAUCAUGGCUCAGGAUGAACGCUAGCGGGAGGCCUAAUACAUGCAAGUCGAACGGUAACAGGGUAGCAAUACCGCUGACGAGUGGCGCACGGGUGCGUAACACGUACACAAUCUACCUUAUACUGGAGCAUAACCUCGGGAAACUGAGGCUAAUUCUCCAUAACAUAUUAAAAAGGCAUCUUUUUGAUAUUAAAACUCCGGUGGUAUAAGAUGAGUGUGCGUCUGAUUAGCUAGUUGGUGGGGUAACGGGCUCACCAAGGCAACGAUCAGUAGCUGGUCUGAGAGGAUGAUCAGCCACACGGGCACUGAGACACGGGCCCGACUCCUACGGGAGGCAGCAGUAGGGAAUAUUGGACAAUGGGCGCAAGCCUGAUCUAGCCAUCCCGCGUGAAGGAUUAAGGCCCUCUGGGUUGUAAACUUCUUUCUUUGGGAAUAAAAACUACCGUUUCUACGGAGCUUGAAGGUACCAGAGGAAUAAGCACCGGCUAACUCCCGUG
rnacentral:rRNA from 1 species